rnacentral:tRNA from 1 species
GUUGAAGUUGCUCAAGUAGAAGAGACUUUAAUUUUUUAUUAAGAGAUUAGGGGUUCAAAUCCCACCUUAAACA